rnacentral:rRNA from 1 species
CCUACGGGUGACAGCAGUGAGGAAUAUUGGUCAAUGGACGAGAGUCUGAACCAGCCAAGUAGCGUGAAGGAUGACUGCCCUAUGGGUUGUAAACUUCUUUUAUAUGGGAAUAAAAUGUUCCACGUGUGGGAUUUUGUAUGUACCAUAUGAAUAAGGAUCGGCUAACCACGUGCCAGCAGCCGCGGUAAUACGGAGGAUCCGAGCGUUAUCCGGAUUUAUUGGGUUUAAAGGGAGCGUAGGUGGAUUGUUAAGUCAGUUGUGAAAGUUUGCGGCUCAACCGUAAAAUUGCAGUUGAAACUGGCAGUCUUGAGUGCAGUAGAGGUGGGCGGAAUUCGUGGUGUAGCGGUGAAAUGCUUAGAUAUCACGAAGAACUCCAAUUGCGAAGGCAGUUCACUGGACUGCAACUGACACUGAGGCUCGAAAGUGUGGGUAUCAAACAGGAUUAGAUACCCCAGUAGUC